rnacentral:rRNA from 1 species
CCUACGGGUGGCACCAGUUGGGAAUCUUGGGCAAUGGGCGCAAGCCUGACCCAGGGACGCCGCGUGGGGGAUGAAGGCCUUCGGGUUGUAAACCCCUGUCAGGAGGGACGAAGCCGCAAGGUGACGGUACCUCCAGAGGAAGCCCCGGCUAACUACGUGCCAGCAGCCGCGGUAAGACGUAGGGGGCGAGCGUUGCCCGGAAUCACUGGGCGUAAAGCGCGUGCAGGCGGCCUGGUAAGUCCCGUGUGAAAGCCUACGGCUCAACUGUAGGAGGUCGCGGGAGACCGCCGGGCUCGAGGGCAGGAGAGGGAAGUAGAAUUCCCGGUGUAGCGGUGAAAUGCGUAGAUAUCGGGAGGAAUGCCAGUGGCGAAGGCGGCUUCCUGGCCUGCUUCUGACGCUGAGACGCGAAAGCUGGGGGAGCGAACGGGAUUAGAUACCCCGGUAGUC